rnacentral:rRNA from 1 species
CCUACGGGUGGCAGCAGUGGGGAAUAUUGGGCAAUGGGCGCAAGCCUGACCCAGCAACGCCGCGUGAGGGAAGAAGGCCCUCGGGUUGUAAACUCCUUUUAUCCGGGACGAAACAAAUGACAGUACCGAAUGAAUAAGCCACGGCCAAAGACCUGCCAGCAGCCGCGGUAAUACGUAGGGGGGCAGUGUUAUCCGGGUUUACUGGGUGUAAAGGGCGUGGAGGCGGGAGAGCAAGUCAGACGUGAAAUUCCAGGGCUCAAACCUGGAACUGCUGUUGAAACUGUUCUGCUUGAGUGAAGGAGAGGCAGGCGGAAUGCCGGGUGUAGCGGUGAAAUGCGUAGAUAUAAGGAGGAACACCGGUGGCGAAGGCGGCCUGCUGGACAUUAACUGACGCUGAGGCGCGAAAGCGUGGGGAGCAAACAGGAUUAGAUACCCUUGUAGUC